GAAGGCAAGCAGGAAAAGAGCAAAGGCUUCCUUUUUCCACCUUCUUUCACGUGGGCUGCUACCAGGAGGCUUUUGCCCAGUUGCUUGGGUUUUAAGAGAAUCCAGAUGUAAAGUCGACAACCAAGAUCAACCGUUAUGCUAGGCAACUGCUGGUCCUCUUGAGCAUUUUUGAGAAGGACUUACAAAACUGAUGCUUGCUUGGUAUACAGGUGAAGAUGGAGGACAGACCCAACCUCUGCAACUUCAAGUGACAUGAUGUGAGGUUAAGAUGGGAGUGAAGAAGAAAACGGAAGGAAAAUGCAGCAUGAACUACUGAAUCUCCAAUUACCAGACCUUCCCAUGAAGAAGUGCAGAAGUGUCAGAACCCUACAGUGGUUAUGUGAUCCAUAAAUGAAACUCAGGGAGAAUGCACA